rnacentral:snRNA from 10 species
AUACUUACCUGGCAGGGGAGAUACCAUGAUCACGAAGGUGGUUGUCCCAGGGCGAGGUUUAUCCAUUGCACUCCGGAUGUGCUGACCCCUGCGAUUUCCCCAAAUGUGGGAAACUCGACUGCAUAAUUUGUUGUAGUUGGGGACUGCGUUCACGCUAGA